UACGAAGGGGACAAGCGUUGUUCGGAAUGACUGGGCGUAAAGGGCGUGUAGGCGGUUUUUUAAGUUGGAUGUGAAAGUCCUGGGCUCAACCUGGGGAUGGCAUUCAAAACUGGAGGACUAGAGUUCGAGAGAGGAAAAUGGAAUUGUGAGUGUAGAGGUGAAAUUCGUAGAUAUUCACAAGAACACCAGUGGCGAAGGCGAUUUUCUGGCUCGAUACUGACGCUAAGGCGCGAAAGCGUGGGGAGCAAACAGGAUUAGAUACCCUGGUAGUCCACGCUGUAAACGAUGAAUGCUAGAUGUUGGGAGGGCAACUUUUCAGUGUCGCAGUUAACACGAUAAGCAUUCCGCCUGGGGAGUACGGUCGCAAGAUUAAA
rnacentral:rRNA from 1 species